AUGGCAAUCCGGUUAAAUCCCCUCCUUUUUAUUUUUGCAAUUAUGUGCAUUGCUUCACUCAUGGUUGCAGCAGGAUUUCAAGAUUUGCAACAUUCUGAUACAUUACAGUGCUUUAAUUCUGGUGCAUGUCCAAAUGAUAUUGAAGCUUGUCGACAUUCUUGUAUAUCAAAGGGUUUUCCUAAAGGUGGUAAGUGUGGAGCCAAAUUAUCCACAUGCUGUUGCUAUGGAGAUUAG